rnacentral:misc_RNA from 1 species
GGCAGGGGCAGGGGCAGGGGCAGGAGCAGGAGGCGGAACAACAGCAGGGUCCUCCGGGACAGGCUGAGAAGAAGGCGGCGGUUCGGCAGCAGCAGGCUUCUGGGUUUCUUCAGCCAUGAAUAUGAUUAGAGAAAGGAAGAAAGGAAGAGAGAGAGUAGAGAGUAGAGAGAAGAUUGUUAGAUGAAGGAUUGAUGAUUUUAUUUAUGAGGGGAAACCCUCUAUUU